rnacentral:rRNA from 1 species
GAGUUUGAUCGUGGCUCAGAUUGAACGCUGGCGGCAUGCCUUACACAUGCAAGUCGAACGGCAGCACGGGAGCUUGCUCCUGGUGGCGAGUGGCGAACGGGUGAGUAAUGCAUCGGAACGUAUCCUGGAGUGGGGGAUAACGUAGCGAAAGUUACGCUAAUACCGCAUAUUCUGUGAGCAGGAAAGCGGGGGACCUUCGGGCCUCGCGCUCUUGGAGCGGCCGAUGUCGGAUUAGCUAGUUGGUGAGGUAAAGGCUCACCAAGGCGACGAUCCGUAGCAGGUCUGAGAGGAUGAUCUGCCACACUGGAACUGAGACACGGUCCAGACUCCUACGGGAGGCAGCAGUGGGAAUUUGGACAAGUGGGGCAACCCUGAUCCAGCCAUGCCGCGUGAGUGAAGAAGGCC